rnacentral:rRNA from 1 species
GCGUUGUUCGGAAUUACUGGGCGUAAAGGGCUCGUAGGCGGCCAACUAAGUCAGACGUGAAAUCCCCAGGCUCAACCUGGGAACUGCGUCUGAUACUGGAUGGCUUGAAUUCGGGAGAGGGAUGCAGAAUUCCAGGUGUAGCGGUGAAAUGCGUAGAUAUCUGGAGGAACACCGGUGGCGAAGGCGGCAUCCUGGACCAAUAUUGACGCUGAGGAGCGAAAGCCAGGGGAGCAAACGGG